CCUACGGGAGGCAGCAGUGGGGGAUAUUGCACAAUGGGGGGAACCCUGAUGCAGCGACGCCGCGUGGGUGAAGAAGCGCCUCGGCGCGUAAAGCUCUGUUAGCAGGGAAGAAAAUGACGGUACCUGAAGGAGAAGCCCCGGCUAACGACGCGCCAGCAGCCGCGGUAAUACGUAGGGGGCAAGCGUUAUCCGGAUUUACUGGGGGUAAAGGGGGCGCAGGCGGCGCUGUAAGCCGGGAGUGAAAGCCCGGGGCUCAACCCCGGGACUGUCCUUGGAACUGGGUGGCUGGAGUGCAGACGGGGCAGGCGGAAUUCCUGGUGUAGCGGUGAAAUGCGUAGAUAUCAGGAGGAACACCGGUGGCGAAGGCGGCCGGCUGGACUGCAACUGACGUUGAGGCCCGAAAGCGUGGGGAGCAAACAGGAUUAGAUACCCGAGUAGUC
rnacentral:rRNA from 1 species